UCGAGAAUCUUUCGCAAUGGGCGAAAGCCUGACGAAGCGACGCCGUGUGAGCGAUGAAGGCCUUCGGGUUGUAAAGCUCUUUCGUUUGGGAACAAGAGAAUGUGGCGAAUAGCCAUGUAAUUUGAGGGUACCAAGUAAAGAAGCACCGGCUAACUCCGUGCCAGCAGCUGCGGUAAUACGGAGGGUGCAAGCAUUAAUCGGAUUUAUUGGGCGUAAAGGGCGCGUAGGCGGAUGGACAAGUUAAAUGUGAAAUUCCGAAGCUCAACUUCGGAGCUGCAUUUAAGACUGUUUGUCUGGAGGAUUGGCGGAGAAAAUGGAAUUCCACGUGUAGCGGUGAAAUGCGUAGAUAUGUGGAAGAACACCGGUGGCGAAAGCGAUUUUCUAGCUUAUUCCUGACGCUGAGGCGCGAGAGCAAGGGGAGCAAACAGG
rnacentral:rRNA from 1 species